AUUUAGUGCUAUUGCUUUAACAUCAAUCGAAGCAAAAAUGGCAUCAAUGUAUGCGUCUGAAAAUGUUAAAUUUAGAUGGAGACAAUCCAGAAAUGAGCUGCCAGGAAGUGAUCGAUUUCGGACACGAAGAUUGGAAGAUUCAUUCUCUGGAAAGUAGAAAAGGGCAUGUUACAUACUGUUAUCACUGCCAUGACAGAAACCAUAUUGAGGAGCUGGUCCACCUGUAGGAAGAAUUGCGCUAUUGGUUGGAGCAGCACUAUUACCCAGCCAUACACCAGCACUUAGUUUGUCAUAGGGAGCAUUUCUGAGCAGUUAUGGAGACCACUAACUAUGCAGUUGUUGCAGUGAAACUGGCACCAGUGUGUUUUCUGUAGAGAUAAAGAGAUAGUGUCCAGCAAUGAAGACCCAACUCAAGAUCUGACCUUGUAAGGCCAAUAUGAAAUAACUGUGUGGGAAAAUGGGAAAAACCUGCAGUCAGGAAUGCACGAAAUCAUCAAAAGAACAGUGUUAAAUUAAUCUUAAAUAACUUGACAUUUAUUUUGUUUGACAUAUUUAUUCAUGGUGCAGUGAAAACAUUCUUUUUUCUCAUGGUUAUUUAAAUUUAGAAUUGAUAGGAGGGAACAUCACUAUGUAGUUUCAUGUUCAUAGUCAGAUCAAAACCCAUGUACAUGCCCAAAUGAGCAUUCGAAAAUAUCAAAAUGGUACUUGUUGUAUGUAGUGUAAGUUAAUUAACAUAAUAAACAAAAAUAUUUAAUAAAUUUCAAUUUAUUAUGCCCCUUUCAAAGAAGAGGAGUAUAUUGCUUUGCACAUGUUGGCCGCUACGUCCGUCUGUCUGACAGUAGACCAAAG